rnacentral:lncRNA from 1 species
CGGGAUGAUCCCUGCUUCCUGCUGCAUGUAAACUGGAGGACAGCAGAGGGCAUUGAAAUAAAACUGCUGGCCUGCUGAAGCACCUUCUUCCUCCCCUGCUUGUGGGACCAAAGUGUGAACUGCCCCUUUGUCUGCUGUGGAAGGAACACAGAUGGGAGGAGGCUGUUUGUGGCUCAAGACUUGAUGCUGCUGUGGUUGGGAGGAGGAAACAGGUUCCUCAGCUCACAGCUCCUGAACACCUGGUGGGCACCCACAAAACUGCAGAAUGGAUGGGCAGAAAAAGCAUGAGCAGCAACUGCAGGAGUGUGGCUGUUGGCACUUUGGGAAGAAUAUCAGAGGAAGACUGUGAGAGUGCAAAGGGGAAGGAGGACACACAUGACAACUGACACACGCUACCUCUUUCCAGACCUGGAUAUAAAUGAGAAAAGGUUAAUGAUGCUAUCACAUGACAGAGGUCCAAGCUGCAGACAAAGCUAGCGAAAUGAAGGUGCCAAUAUUCUGAACCUGCAGCACAGGAAGCAUGGAGUCAAGUUGCAUUUCUCAAACCAGCAUCCAAAUUUAACUCCUUGCCCGUGCAGAAGCCGGCUUGCACGUCUCGUUUCUCUUUUGGGCCUGGGCAAAAGAAACAUAUAGGCACCAAAUCCUCUUACUCAGCAACCUAAAUAAUUGGGAAUUAGGACAACAAAUGCUUUGUAUUUCUGGCCACAAAUACACAAGCGUAGGGUGGAAGGGGGAACUUCACUCUCAGGGGAAGGAAAAAAGGAGAUGAAU